GGGGCUGCCCUGGAUUGUAGAGCCCUUUGCAAUUUUCCAAGCAGCCUCUCUUUCCUGUUCUCAACACUUGGCACCCUGGGCAGACAGAGUUCAGGGAUGACCUUGACUCUUAAAGGAGUGGCAGGUGCAUUUGACAAUGAGGAAGCCAAGCAGACCUGGACUCCAGCUAGGGAUGAGGCUUCUGAAUUAGGCUCAGGCAUUUCCAUUAUUUUAACUCUCGCUCCUCAUUGAAUUCCUAGGUUUAGGAGUCCCUUCUAGAGCACAAUGGAGGCAGUCCAUGUUGUGCAACAUGUUAUCGCUGCCCAGUGAGACCGCAGUGAAGCAUGGAAGCUCAGUAAUGUGUCCGACACGCUGGGGGCAUUGGCCAGGGAGACAGUCCUUUCAGUAGAGUUACUCUGCUCCAUGCCCCUGCCCCAGCCAGGUCCCUUUUUGUCACAUGAUUCAGGUAGCUUCCCCUCUCAGGGGCCUCUUUCCUUCUCCCACUUUGUGCAGGGGCUAUUGGGAGCAGGGAGUGGGCCGUGGUGUACUCCCCUCACAAAUAUGCCCCUGUGCCCAGGCUUGAUUGUGGAAAGCCGAGUGGGCAGUGACCUGUGAGCCUGUCAGCCACUCCCCAUCCACCUCUGGGUGGGGGCAGCUCCUGGAAGGCAAGGUCAGAGGAGCUUAGAGAAAGGCAGAAGCACAUCCUGGUCCCUUCGGCUUGGGGUGGGGGCAUGGGGAGAGCAGGGCUCUUGCCUGAAUGGUCUAAUAAUAGCUGAUAUUUAAGAACAUUCAGUACAUACCUGACCCAUCCUAAGUAUUUCAAUGUAGUACCUCACCAGUCACAGCAAAGUAGGUCCCAUAAUCAUCCCCUUUUAUAGGUGGAGAAAGUGAGGUACAGAGAGGUUGAGGGAACUGGCCCAAGAUCUCAUAGCCAGCAGGUGGCAGAGCUGGAUUUAGAGCUGGUACUUGUCACACAGAGCUAACCAAACGCUAAUCAGACUUUAUAUCCUCUGAGCUCUACCCCCUGUGACGGGGACCCCAGAACCCAGGCCUUGUCUGAGCGGGAGAGCAGAAGUCUGUCAGCUGCCCAUCCUGAGCCACACUCCCUGAAGACAGUGACUCUGUGGUUUGCCCCCUGCUGCCUCUCCAGUGCCUAGAAUCAGUGCCUCAAACAGAGUAGCUGCUGAAUAAAUCUUUGUCGAAUGAUGAACAAGAUUUGCCUUGGGAGGAAGGGGCUGUUAUAACCAAACGGUGCCGCAGCAGGUACAUAGUGCAGUGAGGAGAGAUGCUGGGCCCGCUGCCACCUGGGUGACACGGGACAAGUCAUUUCCCACCUCUGAGCUUCCCUUUGCCCACCUGUAAGGGGGAGAUGAGGUGUUGUGGGACUCCGUCCCCGUGCUGGCCCAUGGCACAAUGCUCUGGGCUUGUUCAGCUGCUGUUAUUACUAUGUUAUUACCGACUCGAGGGCACUGCCAGUAUUGGACCUUGGGUUCAGCGGAAGGUGGUUCUCUCCCCACACCCCUUCUCUGGCUGCUGCCAAGGGGCCCGAGGGGCUGCUGAGCUCUACCAGGCCCUUGCCUUCACCCCGUGUCAGGAAGGAGACCCUGUCCACACCUGUCCCCAGCCCCAGUUGUUACUCCUAAUCCCUCCUCAUAUCCCUGCUCGCCAGGCAUUUUCCCUCCUAACCACUCUGUGUUUCCAUGGGAACAGGGGGAGGGUGGAAAUGGGGGGAGGGGCCUCCCCCACGGAAAGGAACUUCAUCUGGGCCUGUUUGGGAGGGGCUGGCAGCGCCUGGCCUGGCGGAGCUUCUCCUACUGCUCCUCUCCCACCUCCCCAGACCCCUCCCUGAACAGCAUGUUCCUCCGACGGUGAUUUUUAAUGCAUUUAUCCUGCCGCUUAAUUUAUCCCGCAUUGUGAUCAGAUUUAGCCCAGAGCGCUGAGCACAAGGGGCCUGCCUGCAUAUUCAUGAGGCAGUUCAUUCAUGCCACCCCAGAGGAUGCCAGGCACAGUGGGUACCAGCCUGGGUCCAUGGAUCCCACCACAUAAGGGUGACCCAGGGCCAGGGGUUAGGGGCCCUGGCUGGAGUUAGGCAGAUGGCAUAGGGUACAGUGCGCGUGGGGUGGCACUGAGCACAGGCUCCAGAGCCAAACUGAGUUGAAUCCAUCUCUGCCAUUACAAAUGAAGUUGCUUCACUUCUCAGUUUACCCAUCUGCAAAAGGGGCUGAUAAAAGCCACUGCCCUGAGUCACUUGAAGGACCGGGUAAGAUAAUACACAUAAUGAUCAUGGGAUGGGGGUGUAUGUGUAAGGGAGUAACACAUUUCUCUGUCAUCAUCACCAUUCUUGCCGAGCAGUGGGUUGUCUGGUCUGGUUCAUGGAGAAGAGAAAAGAGGCAGCAGGAUGGGCAUAAGUCUGUUGUGGUGGGGGCAAGGACUUGGGGAUCAUUUCCCUCCUGCCUGUGCCUGCCUGUGGAUACGAGCUCCCCUCAAAUGAGCUUCUGGAGGCCAAUCAUCCAGGAAGGCAGGAGAAGCCCAAGGAGGCCCUCUAGCCCCUGAGGAAGGGCCACAAGCAUUGCCUGGAUGUGUGAGCCCCACCAGCCACUGAAGCCCACGGGGAGCCUGGGGCUCUGGAAGAAGGCUGGGCUCUUGGCUCUAGGCUCUUCAGGCCUGUGGGAAUUUCUCUGUAGAUUCAUUCUGUCCCUUUACUGAUGCCAGUCCCAUGCUGGGCACUGGGGACACACUUGUCCUCAAGGAGAUGUCACCCCUUGAGGGAGGCAGUGGUCAGGGCCCACAGAGGAAGCCAGAUCAACCUCUCUGGAAGGUCAGAAGAGGAGGAAGUCAUCCCAGCUGGGGCAUCAGGGAAGGCUUCCUGUGGAAGGUGACAUCUAGGCUGAGCCUUAAAAACAUGGCUGUGAAGAGAGAGGAUGGAAAAAAAAAGGGCAUCUGGUGUCCAAGGGACAGUAGGGGCCUGGUCGUGGGAACUCGGCUUGGGAGGUGUUGGCUGGACACAGGCCGGGAGAACCAUGAGCCCCAGAAUGAGAAGUCUGGACUUGCACCAGCCAUCCCUGGAGGCAGGAAGCCCUGAGGGGCCCACCUCUGUCCCUCACACUCAUGUACGCAUGUAGGGGUCACGUUCCAGCUUGCCAGAGAAAAGAGGAGAGCUCCUGCCCUGGCUCUCCUGAUUAAUCUAUAAUUAAAUCAGCACAGACGCCAUGGAACUAUGCUGUCAUUAGAGAGCUAGUGAGGGCAAACAGUGAUUGCUCCGCGAACCAAGAGCCCUGCCAGGUGGCUGCAGCUCUGGCUGUGUGCGGAUAGCUGUCAGGGGUGAGGAGCGAGCACAGGAGGCCAGAGCUGAAGCCAGGAUUGGGAAGAUCAGCAGCUCACACCUGGCCAUUGAUACUCCCAAUGCAAUGCCACAAAGGCUGUGGGGGGCGGGGGUGGGGCUAUUAUUUUUUCCCAUUUUAUAGACACAGAAACUGAGGUGCAGAGAACGCAGGGGUGAGAUAGCCUGGUUGGGUACAUGGGUUUUGGAAUCAGAUAAUCUUGGGUUCAGAACUCCCAGAUGUGCCUCUUGCCAGCUGUGUGGCCUCAGGCGAUUGCUUAACCCUUUCUGCUCCUCAGUUUCUUUGUGUAAUGAGGCCGAAACACUGUCACUUCAAAAUAUUGCUUGUAGGGAUUGAAUGAAGCCAUCCCUGCCAGAAUUUAGCAGUGUUUGGUGCUUAGCAAGUGCUCAUCAAAUGCAACUACUUAUAAUCAUGCUUUGUUGUAAUUGCUUGUUUCUUGUCCAUCUUUCUCACUAGAAUGUGGACUCCAUGAGGAUAGGGACUGUGUCCAUCUAGUUCGUUGCCUUGACUUCAGCAAUUGGCACUCGUGUUCAACUGGGAGCUGUGCUUGUGGCCACUGCUCCAGCACCUCGAGAAGGCCUCCUCCCACCCACGGCCAGCCCGGGGAAGAUCAAAUUCCAAGUGCAGUUUCUACUGAGUGGGUAUCUAUCGCCUGUGCACCAUUGUAAAGUCCUAAAAUGACUGUAGGUCAAGAAUAUGAACAGAGCAUGGUUGGUGUGCGAGCCUCAUGGUGUCUGGGGCCUCCUCUGGAAAGACUCAGUAACUAGGGGUGACUCAACAGCUGAAGGCUAGAAUCAUCUGGAGUGUCUUCACUUACACGUCUGGCAGGUGAUGCUGGCUAUCAGUUGGGACCGCAGUGGGGCUCCUAACCAGAGCAACUACACGUGGCCUUUCUGUGCCAUCUCUCCUUGUGCUAGAUUGGGCUUCCUCACAGUGUGGUGGCUGAGUUCUGAGCGCAAACAUCCCAGGAGGGCCAAGUGGAAGCUGGAUCACCUUUUAUGACCUAACCUUGGAAAUCAGGUAGCCUUGCCUCACUUCUGCAAUACUCACAGGCUCACCCAGGUUCAAGGUGAAGGAACCCAGACUUCACCUCUCAACGGGACAGCACGUGGAAUUAGAGAUAUUAUUGUAGCCAUCUUUGCUGCACAACCUGCUCUACAUAUAAUUUGCUCCUGAAGGCAGUAGGCACCUCCUCCAUGCCAGGCCUGAUGCCAGCCCCAGGGAUGACAAUAACUCAGGCUUUCAACUCACUGUGUGGUUUACAAGAAGCUUCCAUCAUAGAAGUCACAACCACUUUGCAAAGUGGGUAUCCAUUCUUGUGUCCAUUUCUCAGGUGUGGAAACUGAGGCCCAGUGAGAUUGGGUGACGUGCCCAGCCACAGCCAGUAUAUGACAGAACCAAGAUUUGAACCCAGGCCUGCUCACUGUGGAGCCCAGACUCCUUUCACACUGUGAAAACAAAGCAAAGUAAAGCAAAGGAAUACGUGAACACCCCAAAAAUUUGGAGAACACAGUUGAAAGAAGGAAGAGGGCAAAGACCUACAAAGCUCCCUCUCCCUCAACUUUUGGAUCUAUCUCAUUAACCAUCUAGGACUCUCCUACUUGUUUUGGCUGAGUCUUCAUGUACAAGGAAGUGAAUGACCUGGCCAAGGUGGCACAGAUGCAAGCGGCAUAGUCGAGAUUUGAACCAGACUGUUGGAUGCCGGAAUUGAAGGUGAAUUCAGUGUGGCCCCACACCUCGAGGAGCUGUUUCCAGUCAAGGGGAGAGUUGGAAACAAACAGGUGUUGGCUUACUCUGGCUUCCCCCAGAAGCAGACCCUGAGACAGUGACUUGAGCACAUGGAAUUUAUUUGAGAGGUGAUCCCAGUAAGUAGGAGGAAUAGCAUGUGGAGAGUGAGGCUGGGCAGGAGACAAUGUCAAUAAAAUCAGUAAGCGCCUAGUGGCUCCAUCCUGUCUAGAUAUUUCUAAGAAACAGUGGAGAGGACACCUCAGUAUGGAGGCUGGGCAUUUCCCCCUUGGUGCCUGACCGUCACGCCUGAAGGUUGCUCCUGGAGGCAUCCACUCCCCCUGCAUUUCCAAGUGGUCCUGUGCUUGGACAGAGCAAGCUCUUGUGACUUCAGAAAAUGCCAUCAGGCAGAAAAGUGGAGACACGUGUGUCUGGGAGCUGUCCACCACGGCUCUAGCUGGAGUCCCAGAAAGGCACCAACAGCGGCUGCUACGAGGUGUUUGAGACAUCAUGUGUCUUGGUCAUCAUAAAGCAUUUGAGGAGUCUAGAGCUAAUAUUGUAUUGUACACUUGAAACUUGCAAAGACGGUAAAAUCUUAAGUGUUCUCACUACAAGAAAAAAGGUAACUGUGCAGUGAUGGAUAUGUUAAUAAACUUGAUUGUGGUGAUCAUUCCACAAUGUAUAUGUGUGUGUGUGUGUGUGUGUGUGUGUGUGUGUGUGUAUGUAUAUAUAUAUACAUGUGUGUGUACAUGUCAGGUUGUACAUCUCAAUAAAGCUGACGGACAAAGAAAUACAUAAAUCUUUGUAAUACUAAAAGGAGAUAAAUUAAGUAUUUGGAGGUGACAACCCAGGAGUGGGGUGCAGAAGUCAGGGAAGGUUUCCCCAGAGUAAGUGACAUUGAGUUGAAUUUUGAAGGGUGAGCAUGCAGUGGGGAAGAGGCAUUCCAGGUAGGAGGACUUGCACAGGUGGAGGCAUGAAAGAGCUUGUCCUUAGGAGGAUGUAAAGCCUAUACCUGAGUCCUGGGAUUUGACCACAGUUGAAUUAGGAAUGAGUGCAAAGACCAAAUGGUGAAGGGUUUUGAAGACCAGGUUAAAGGCUUCACACUUUCUCUCUGAGGGCUAGGAAGCCAUUGCAGGGUUCUGGGCAGAGAGUUGGCACAGAUCCGCGUUAUAGAAACAUCUCUCUGCAGCUGGUGUGAAGGGUGGCUUGGGAGGGGGUAGACUGGAGCAGGAGUCAUGGGAGGAGGCUGGUGUACUGGUCAAGUCCAGAGAUAUAGAGGCUGAGCCAGGGUGGGAUAGAGCAUCAGGCCCAAAGGUUGUUUAGAAGAAGGUUUGGGAUAUAGGAUAGGGUGGGAAGGAGGCCAGCCCUUGGCUGCAGGGGCUCUGGGAGGCUCCCCCUCUCCUUUUCCCCAAGGUACCCGCCCAGCCUGUCCAGAACCUGACUUACAUGGAGAAUGGCACCAGGGCCAAGGCAUCCCCAGAUCUGGUCGUGAAGGAUCUGGACAUUAUCUGCUUUGGUCAUAAGCCAAAUCUCAUCAUUAGCUAGAUGUGGUCACUAUCUAGAUCUAGUUGUUACCAGAGCCGGUCCUUAGCCAGGGCUGGAGGGUACCUGCUGCCAAAUAGACUCUACUUGGUUUAAGUCACUCUGUCCUCUUCUAGAGUCCUUCCUAAAGCCCUGGCUCUCUGCCUGAGGGUAUUACUAUUCUGAAUUUUGAAUUAUA